rnacentral:rRNA from 1 species
UACGAGGGGAGCUAGCGUUAUUCGGAAUUACUGGGCGUAAAGCGCGCGUAGGCGGUUUUUUUAAGUCAGAGGUGAAAGCCUGGAGCUCAACUCCAGAACUGCCUUUGAAACUGGAAAACUUGAAUCUUGGAGAGGUCAGUGGAAUUCCGAGUGUAGAGGUGAAAUUCGUAGAUAUUCGGAAGAACACCAGUGGCGAAGGCGACUGACUGGACAAGUAUUGACGCUGAGGUGCGAAAGCGUGGGGAGCAAACAGG